CGAACGCUGGCGGCGUGCCUAAUACAUGCAAGUUGAGCGCUGAAGGUUGGUACUUGUACCGACUGGAUGAGCAGCGAACGGGUGAGUAACGCGUGGGGAAUUUGCCUUUGAGCGGGGGACAACAUUUGGAAACGAAUGCUAAUACCGCAUAAAAACUUUAAACACAAGUUUUAAGUUUGAAAGAUGCAAUUGCAUCACUCAAAGAUGAUCCCGCGUUGUAUUAGCUAGUUGGUGAGGUAAAGGCUCACCAAGGCGAUGAUACAUAGCCG
rnacentral:rRNA from 1 species